rnacentral:rRNA from 1 species
ACUCCUACGGGAGGCAGCAGUGGGGAAUAUUGGGCAAUGGGCGGAAGCCUGACCCAGCGACGCCGCGUGCGGGAUGAAGGCCUUCGGGUUGUAAACCGCUUUCAGCAGGGAAGAAGCGAAAGUGACGGUACCUGCAAAAGAAGCACCGGCUAACUACGUGCCUGCAGCCGCGGUAAUACGUAGGGUGCAAGCGUUGUCCGGAAUUAUUGGGCGUAAAGAGCUCGUAGGUGGUUUGCCACGUCGGAUGUGAAACCCUGAGGCUCAACCUCAGGCCUGCAUUCGAUACGGGCAGACUAGAGUGUGGUAGGGGAGACUGGAAUUCCUGGUGUAGCGGUGAAAUGCGCAGAUAUCAGGAGGAACACCGGUGGCGAAGGCGGGUCUCUGGGCCAUUACUGACACUGAGGAGCGAAAGCGCGGGGAGCAAACAGGAUUAGAUACCCUGGUAGUCCACGCCGUAAACGGUGGGCACUAGGUGUGGGACCCUUCCACGGGUUCUGCGCCGCAGCUAACGCAUUAAGUGCCCCGCCUGGGGAGUACGGCCGCAAGGCUAAAACUCAAAUGAAUUGACGG